GACGAACGCUGGCGGCGUGCCUAACACAUGCAAGUCAAGGGUAGCAAUACCCUGGCGCACGGGUGAGUAACGCGUAGGUAAUCUACCCAUAUCUGGGACAUAACAUUGGGAAACUGAUGAUAAUAGCCCAUGUGGCCUUAGGGUCAAAGCUUUAUGCGGUUAUGGAUGAGCCUGCGUCUGAUUAGCUAGUUGGCGAGGUAAUAGCUCACCAAGGCGACGAUCAGUAACUGGUCUGAGAGGACGAUUAGUCACACUGGAACUGAGACACGGUCCAGACUCCUACGGGAGGCAGCAGUGAGGAAUUUUGGUCAAUGGGGGAAACCCUUGAACCAGCGACGCCGCGUGCAGGAUGAAGGAGCUUUGCUCUGUAAACUGCUGUCGGAUGGGAAAAAAGGUUUGCUUCGCGAACUGGGAUUGUACCAUCAAAGGAAGGAUCGGCUAACUACGUGCCAGCAGCCGCGGUAAUACGUAGGAUCCAAGCGUUGUCCGGAUUUACUGGGUGUAAAGGGAGCGUAGGCGGGCUCGUGCGUCAGAGGUUAAAGAUCUAGGCUCAACCUAGGGAAUGCCUUUGAUACGGCGAGUCUUGAGAGUAAGAGAGGACGGUAGAAUUCCUGGUGUAGCAGUGAAAUGCGUAGAUAUCAGGAGGAAUACCAGUGGCGAAGGCGGCCGUCUGGCUUAUUUCUGACGCUGAGGCUCGAAAGCGUGGGGAUCAAACAGGAUUAGAUACCCUGGUAGUCCACGCCCUAAACGAUGUAUGCUUGGUGUUGGGGGUUUACCCUCAGUGCCGGAGAAAACUCGUUAAGCAUACCACCUGGGGAGUACGAUCGCAAGGUUGAAACUCAAAGGAAUUGACGGGGGCCCGCACAAGCGGUGGAUCAUGUGGUUUAAUUCGAUGCAACGCGAAGAACCUUACCAAGGCUUGAAGUGCUACUGACAGCGGCUGAAAGGUCGCUUUCUUCGGACAGUAGUAGAGGUACUGCAUGGCUGUCGUCAGCUCGUGCCGUGAGGUGUUGGGUUAAGUCCCGCAACGAGCGCAACCCCUAUCCUUAGUUGCCAGCAGUUCGGCUGGGCACUCUAAGGAGACUGCCUACGCAAGUAGUGAGGAAGGUGGGGAUGACGUCAAGUCAUCAUGGCCCUUAUGUCUUGGGCUACACACGUGAUACAAUGGACGGUACAAUGGGCGAAGCCGCGAGGUGGAGGUAAUCCCAAAAGCCGUUCUCAGUUCGGAUUGUUGUCUGCAACUCGACAGCAUGAAGCUGGAAUCGCUAGUAAUCGUAGAUCAGCACGCUACGGUGAAUACGUUCCCGGGCCUUGUACACACCGCCCGUCAAGCCAUGGAAGCUGGGGGCGCCCGAAGCCGCAUGCAAAUGCGUCUAAGGCGAACUCAGUGACUGGGGCU
rnacentral:rRNA from 1 species